rnacentral:rRNA from 1 species
UACGUAGGGUGCAAGCGUUGUCCGGAAUCAUUGGGCGUAAAGAGCGUGUAGGCGGCUCGAUUAGUCCGCUGUAAAAGUCCAGGGCUCAACCCUGGGAUGCCGGUGGAAACUGUCGGGCUAGAGUCCGGAAGAGGAGAAUGGAAUUCCCGGUGUAGCGGUGAAAUGCGCAGAUAUCGGGAAGAACACCCGUGGCGAAGGCGGUUCUCUGGGACGGUACUGACGCUGAGACGCGAAAGCGUGGGGAGCGAACAGG